CAGUAGCCGCGGGAAUACGAAGGGGGCUAGCGUUGCUCGGAAUGACUGGGCGUAAAGGGCGCGUAGGCGGCGGCCAAAGUCAGGCGUGAAAUUCCUGGGCUCAACCUGGGGGCUGCGCUUGAUACUUGGUUGCUUGAGUGGGGAAGAGGGUCGUGGAAUUCCCAGUGUAGAGGUGAAAUUCGUAGAUAUUGGGAAGAACACCGGUGGCGAAGGCGGCGACCUGGUCCUUGACUGACGCUGAGGCGCGAAAGCGUGGGGAGCAAACAGGAUUAGAUACCCGAGUAGUCCCUGUCUCUUAUAC
rnacentral:rRNA from 1 species